rnacentral:rRNA from 1 species
UACGUAGGGGGCUAGCGUUGUCCGGAAUUAUUGGGCGUAAAGAGCUCGUAGGCGGUUUGUUGCGUCGGCUGUGAAAUCCCGAGGCUCAACCUCGGGCCUGCAGUCGAUACGGGCAGACUAGAGUGUUGCAGGGGAGACUGGAAUUCCUGGUGUAGCGGUGAAAUGCGCAGAUAUCAGGAGGAACACCGGUGGCGAAGGCGGGUCUCUGGGCAACAACUGACGCUGAGGAGCGAAAGCGUGGGGAGCGAACAGG